AGAGAGAGACAUGCGCGCAUAUCAAUAAGCGGAGGAAAAGAAACUAACAAGGAUUCCCUUAGUAACGGCGAGUGAAGCGGGAAGAGCUCAAAUUUGAAAUCUUCAAGGUUCUACCUUGACGAAUUGUAGUUUAUAGAAGUGUUUUCUGUUAGUGGAGUGGCAAAAGUUCUUUGGAAUAGGACAUCAUAGAGGGUGAGAAUCCCGUAUUUGGUCAUUCCUCCUAGCGUUGUGAUACACUUUCAACGAGUCGGAUUGUUUGGGAAUGCAGUCCAAAAUGGGUGGUAAAUUUCAUCUAAAGCUAAAUAUUGGCGAGAGACCGAUAGCGAACAAGUACCGUGAGGGAAAGAUGAAAAGAACUUUGAAAAGAGAGUUAAACAGUACGUGAAAUUGUCAAAAGGGAAGCGUUUGACACCAGUGUUGUUUUUCCGAAAAUCAAUUACGUAAUGUUUUAUUUUUGAGGAGUUAUGACUUCAUCGGCUUGCUCCUUUCUUUAUGAAACUUUCUUAAUGCACUUUUCGGUUAACAAGUCAACAUCAAUUUCUUUUGUUGUAAAAGGGUAUGAGGAAGGUGGCUUUCUUUUCGGAGAAAGUGUUUAUAGCCUUGUGCCUCUGCAAUCGGAGAGAUUGAGGUCUGCAGCGUAGAUCCUUCAGGGGUUAGAUACAUUUGUGCUAAGUUAUAGCUUUUCAUAGACAACUUGUUGACUAUGUUUAGUCUUGUAGCUUACUCGCUUACUGCUAUUUUACCUACGCUUAGGAUGUUGAUAGUCACAGCGUGUAC
rnacentral:rRNA from 1 species